rnacentral:rRNA from 1 species
ACGAACGCUGGCGGCGUGCUUAACACCUGCAAGUCGAACGGUGAAGCGCCUUCCUUUUUGGUGGGUGUGGAUGAGUGGCGAACGGGUGAGUAACACGUGAGUAACCUGCCCCCUUCUCCUGGAUAACCGCAUGAAAGUGUGGCUAAUACGGGAUAUUCUGGGUCUGUCGCAUGAUGGGUCUGGGAAAGAUAUUGUUUCGGUGGGGGAUGGGCUCGCGGCCUAUCAGCUUGUUGGUGGGGUGAUGGCCUACCAAGGCGGUGACGGGUAGCCGGCCUGAGAGGGUGGACGGUCACACUGGGACGGAGACACGGCCCAGACUCCUACGGGAGGCAGCAGUGGGGAAUAUUGCACAAUGGGCGCAAGCCUGAUGCAGCGACGCCGCGGGAGGGAUGGAGGCCUUCGGGUUGUGAACCUCUUUCGCCAGUGAAGCAGGCCUGCCUCGUUUGUGGGUGGGUUGACGGUAGCUGGAUAAGAAGCGCCGGCUAACUACGUG